ACGGGGGAGGCAAGCGUUGUCCGGAAUCACUGGGUGUAAAGGGCGUGUAGGCGGGCCUUUAAGUCGAUCUGUUAAAUCUCUCCGCUCAACGGAGAAACUGCAGUCGAUACUAUUGGCCUUGAGUGCGGAAGGGGAGAAUGGAAUUCCUGGUGUAGCGGUGAAAUGCGUAGAUAUCAGGAGGAACACCGGUGGCGAAGGCGGUUCUCUGGUCCUGCACUGACGCUGAGGCGCGAAAGCAAGGGGAUCAAACAGACUUAGAUACUCUGGUAGUCCUUGCCCUAAACGAUGGGUACUAGGUGUUCGUCCUUUUUAAGGAUGAGUGCCGCAGCUAACGCAUUAAGUACCCCACCUGGGGAGUACGAUCGCAAGGUUG
rnacentral:rRNA from 1 species